rnacentral:pre_miRNA from 1 species
GCAUCAAAGUCGGCUUGUCAUAGGUCAUAACGUAGCUAUCACAGCCAGCUUUGAUGAGC